CUGUUAGUGCCCCCCGUGGGGCACCGGGAGCGCUGUUGCUCGUACUGCGGCCAUUACAAGUCCGCAAAAUAUCCUGGUGUUACAGAGCCGGCAGCUUCUGUUCCAGGCCCCUUCACAGAUGUGCACUGUCUCCCGUCGUAGCUGAGCGCGGUCUCAAAAAUGUCAGAUGGAUCCCAAAAGUGAUGUGAAAAAUCAGCCGUGGCUUGCAGAAAGCAGCUUGGAAAUGUGAUGAGUGUGAGGGAGCUCUAGAUCUUCCCUUUUCAGACCCUGAAGAAGCAUCUGAGAGUCUUCCUGGACUGGGGGAACAAGAAGGUGACAUGUAAGAAGAGCAGGAUCCUCUGCAUGGUGGCUCCUUCUCGCUGCCUCUGUGAAUUUCAUAUUUUAAAGCAAAAAGCAUGGCAGUGGUAUUGCUUACAUAAGUGCUUACAUGAGCACAAGUGCAGGCCUAAGUUACCCAUAUUUCUGAUGUAGCAAGCACUCCACACAAUUUGAAUUAAAAGACUACCAUGCAAGUAAGUGGCAUGCACUA